rnacentral:rRNA from 1 species
CCUACGGGAGGCAGCAGUGGGGAAUAUUGCGCAAUGGGCGAAGGCCUGACGCAGCGACGCCGCGUGAGGGAUGAAGGUCUUCGGAUCGUAAACCUCUGUCAGCAGGGAAGAACGGUCACUGUGCUAAUCAGCAGUGAAUUGACGGUACCUGCAAAGGAAGCAACGGCUAACUCCGUGCCAGCAGCCGCGGUAAUACGGAGGGUGCGAGCGUUAAUCGGAAUUACUGGGCGUAAAGCGCUCGUAGGCGGUAUGUCAAGUCAAGGGUGAAAUCCCCGCGCACAACGUGGGAACUGCCUUUGAAACUGGCAAACUUGAGUGUGUGAGAGGAUAGUGGAAUUCCAGGUGUAGGAGUGAAAUCCGUAGAUAUCUGGAGGAACAUCAGUGGCGAAGGCGACUAUCUGGCACAUAACUGACGCUGAGGAGCGAAAGCGUGGGUAGCUAACAGGAUUAGAUACCCGAGUAGUC